rnacentral:rRNA from 2 species
UAUGCGUGGUCAAUACCGGGGCGAAAGGGCGGCCCCUGGACAAAGACUGACGCUCAGGUGAGAAAGCGGUGGGGAGCAAACAGGAUUAGAUACCCUGGUAGUCCACGCUGUAAAACCGAUGUCGACUUUGGAGGGUUGUGCCCUUGAGGCGGUGGCUUCCGGAGCUAAACGCGUUAAGUCGACCGCCUGGGGAGUACGGCCGCAAGGUUAAAACUCAAAUGAAUUGACGGGGGCCCGCACAAGCGGUGGAGCAUGUGGUUUAAUUCGAUGCAACGCGAAGAACCUUACCUACUCUUGACAUCCAGAGAAUUCGCUAGAGAUAGCUUAGUGCCUUCGGGAACUCUGAGACAGGUGCUGCAUGGCUGUCGUCAGCUCGUGUUGUGAAAUGUUGGGUUAAGUCCCGCAACGAGCGCAACCCUUAUCCUUUGUUGCCAGCAAGUAAUGUUGGGAACUCAAAGGAGACUGCCGGUGAUAAACCGGAGGAAGGUGGGGAUGACGUCAAGUCAUCAUGGCCCUUACGAGUAGGGCUACACACGUGCUACAAUGGCAUAUACAAAGAGAAGCAAACUCGCGAGAGCAAGCGGACCUCAUAAAGUAUGUCGUAGUCCGGAUUGGAGUCUGCA